AUUGAACGCUGGCGGCAGGCCUAACACAUGCAAGUCGAGCGGAUGACGGGAGCUUGCUCCUUGAUUCAGCGGCGGACGGGUGAGUAAUGCCUAGGAAUCUGCCUGGUAGUGGGGGACAACGUUUCGAAAGGAACGCUAAUACCGCAUACGUCCUACGGGAGAAAGCAGGGGACCUUCGGGCCUUGCGCUAUCAGAUGAGCCUAGGUCGGAUUAGCUAGUUGGUGGGGUAAUGGCUCACCAAGGCGACGAUCCGUAACUGGUCUGAGAGGAUGAUCAGUCACACUGGAACUGAGACACGGUCCAGACUCCCACGGGAGGCAGCAGUGGGGAAUAUUGGACAAUGGGCGAAAGCCUGAUCCAGCCAUGCCGCGUGUGUGAAGAAGGUCUUCGGAUUGUAAGCACUUUAAGUUGGGAGGAAGGGCAGUAAGUUAAUACCUUGCUGUUUUGACGUUACCGACAGAAUAAGCACCGGCUAACUCUGUGCCAGCCGCCGCCGUAAGAC
rnacentral:rRNA from 1 species